rnacentral:lncRNA from 13 species
CUUAGAUUCCUGACCUGCAGAAAUGGAACUCAUAAAUGUUUACUGUUUUUAAGCCACUCAGUUUUGUGGUUUGAUCAUACAGCAGUGAUCAAAUGCUCUAUGCUAUAUGAGUAAGAACCCCCAUGGUCUCCAAAACAGUAGUGACUUCACAACAACAACAAAAUGUUUCCUUUUACUUACAUUGUAAUCUAAUGGCCCCACUCCAUCCUGAAUCCCGGCUGUGGGUUCCCAAAGCAGCUGUGGCAGGAGAGAGUGGCCGGGCAUAGAAGAUCCUGGACAAGGGUGGUGAAGGGGACAUUUUAAAUCACUAAACCUGUAGAUGAAUUACAUCCCUUCUCUUUUCAUCUUUAUCGGCAAAAACCAAGACACAUGCCCCUCCUUAACUACAAGUGCAGCUGAGAAAAGAAGAGAAGCACAAGGAAGAUGGUUGGAAUGUAGACAUACUGGUUGGAGCUCAUGCAGCUAUAUUGGAUGAUGAUGUGGAAGCCAUGUGUUAAAAAUGGCAGCCAAGAAGAAUAACAAAGCAAAUAAACAAGCAAAAGAUCCUUGGGUUCUGGAGACC